rnacentral:rRNA from 1 species
GAUGAACGCUGGCGGCGUGCCUAAUACAUGCAAGUCGAGCGAAUGGAUUAAGAGCUUGCUCUUAUGAAGUUAGCGGCGGACGGGUGAGUAACACGUGGGUAACCUGCCCAUAAGACUGGGAUAACUCCGGGAAACCGGGGCUAAUACCGGAUAACAUUUUGAACCGCAUGGUUCGAAAUUGAAAGGAGGCUUCGGCUGUCACUUAUGGAUGGACCCGCGUCGCAUUAGCUAGUUGGUGAGGUACCGGCUCACCAAGGCAACGAUGCGUAGCCGACCUGAGAGGAUGAGCGGCCACACCUGGACUGAGACACGGACCAGACUCAUACGGGAGGCAGCAGUAGGGAAUCUUCCGCAAUGGACGAAAGUCUGACGGUGCAACGCCGCGUGAGUGAUGAAGGCUUUCGGGUCGUAAAACGCUGUUGUUAGGGAAGAACAAGUGCUAGUUGAAUAAGCUGGCACCUUGACGGUACCUAACCAGAAAGCCACGGCUAACUACGUGCCAGCAGCCGCAGUAA